rnacentral:rRNA from 1 species
UACGUAGGGUGCAAGCGUUGUCCGGAAUUAUUGGGCGUAAGGAGCUCGUAGGCGGCUUGUCACGUCGGGUGUGAAAGCCCGGGGCUUAACCCCGGGUCUGCAUUCGAUACGGGCUAGCUAGAGUGUGGUAGGGGAGAUCGGAAUUCCUGGUGUAGCGGUGAAAUGCGCAGAUAUCAGGAGGAACACCGGUGGCGAAGGCGGAUCUCUGGGCCAUUACUGACGCUGAGGAGCGAAAGCGUGGGGAGCGAACAGG